UACGAAGGGGGCUAGCGUUGCUCGGAAUCACUGGCGUAAGGGUGCGUAGGCGGGUCUUUAAGUCAGGGGUGAAAUCCUGGAGCUCAACUCCAGAACUGCCUUUGAUACUGAGGAUCUUGAGUUCGGAGAGGUGAGUGGAACUGCGAGUGUAGAGGUGAAAUUCGUAGAUAUUCGCAAGAACACCAGUGGCGAAGGCGGCUCACUGGCCCGAGUACUGACGCUGAGGCACGAAAGCGUGGGGAGCAACAGG
rnacentral:rRNA from 1 species